UUAAGCGACUAAGCGUACACGGUGGAUGCCCUGGCAGUCAGAGGCGAUGAAGGACGUGCUAAUCUGCGAAAAGCGUCGGUAAGGUGAUAUGAACCGUUACAGCCGGCGAUGUCCGAAUGGGGAAACCCAGUGUGAUUCGUCACACUAUCGUUAACUGAAUACAUAGGUUAACGAGGCGAACCGGGGGAACUGAAACAUCUAAGUACCCCGAGGAAAAGAAAUCAACCGAGAUUCCCCCAGUAGCGGCGAGCGAACGGGGAGCAGCCCAGAGUCUGAAUCAGCUUGUGUGUUAGUGGAACGGUCUGGAAAGUCCGACGGUACAGGGUGAUAGUCCCGUACACCAAAAUGCACAGGCUGUGAACUCGAAGAGUAGGGCGGGACACGUGGUAUCCUGUCUGAAUAUGGGGGGACCAUCCUCCAAGGCUAAAUACUCCUGACUGACCGAUAGUGAACCAGUACCGUGAGGGAAAGGCGAAAAGAACCCCGGCGAGGGGAGUGAAAAAGAACCUGAAACCGUGUACGUACAAGCAGUGGGAGCACCUUCGGGUGUGACUGCGUACCUUUUGUAUAAUGGGUCAGCGACUUAUAUUCUGUAGCAAGGUUAACCGUAUAGGGGAGCCGCAGGGAAACCGAGUCUUAACUGGGCGUUAAGUUGCAGGGUAUAGACCCGAAACCCGGUGAUCUAGCCAUGGGCAGGUUGAAGGUUGGGUAACACUAACUGGAGGACCGAACCGACUAAUGUUGAAAAAUUAGCGGAUGACUUGUGGCUGGGGGUGAAAGGCCAAUCAAACCGGGAGAUAGCUGGUUCUCCCCGAAAGCUAUUUAGGUAGCGCCUCGUGAAUUCAUCUUCGGGGGUAGAGCACUGUUUCGGCUAGGGGGUCAUCCCGACUUACCAACCCGAUGCAAACUACGAAUACCGAAGAAUGUUAUCACGGGAGACACACGGCGGGUGCUAACGUCCGUCGUGAAGAGGGAAACAACCCAGACCGCCAGCUAAGGUCCCAAAGUCAUGGUUAAGUGGGAAACGAUGUGGGAAGGCACAGACAGCCAGGAUGUUGGCUUAGAAGCAGCCAUCAUUUAAAGAAAGCGUAAUAGCUCACUGGUCGAGUCGGCCUGCGCGGAAGAUGUAACGGGGCUAAACCAUGCACCGAAGCUGCGGCAGCGACACUAUGUGUUGUUGGGUAGGGGAGCGUUCUGUAAGCCUGCGAAGGUGACCUGUGAGGGUUGCUGGAGGUAUCAGAAGUGCGAAUGCUGACAUAAGUAACGAUAAAGCGGGUGAAAAGCCCGCUCGCCGGAAGACCAAGGGUUCCUGUCCAACGUUAAUCGGGGCAGGGUGAGUCGACCCCUAAGGCGAGGCCGAAAGGCGUAGUCGAUGGGAAACAGGUUAAUAUUCCUGUACUUGGUGUUACUGCGAAGGGGGGACGGAGAAGGCUAUGUUAGCCGGGCGACGGUUGUCCCGGUUUAAGCAUGUAGGCUGGUUGUCCAGGCAAAUCCGGAUAAUCAAGGCUGAGGUGUGAUGACGAGGCACUACGGUGCUGAAGUAACAAAUGCCCUGCUUCCAGGAAAAGCCUCUAAGCAUCAGGUAACAUCAAAUCGUACCCCAAACCGACACAGGUGGUCAGGUAGAGAAUACCAAGGCGCUUGAGAGAACUCGGGUGAAGGAACUAGGCAAAAUGGUGCCGUAACUUCGGGAGAAGGCACGCUGGUGUGUAGGUGAAGCCCCUGCGGGUGGAGCUGAGACCAGUCGAAGAUACCAGCUGGCUGCAACUGUUUAUUAAAAACACAGCACUGUGCAAACACGAAAGUGGACGUAUACGGUGUGACGCCUGCCCGGUGCCGGAAGGUUAAUUGAUGGGGUUAUCCGUAAGGAGAAGCUCUUGAUCGAAGCCCCGGUAAACGGCGGCCGUAACUAUAACGGUCCUAAGGUAGCGAAAUUCCUUGUCGGGUAAGUUCCGACCUGCACGAAUGGCGUAAUGAUGGCCAGGCUGUCUCCACCCGAGACUCAGUGAAAUUGAACUCGCUGUGAAGAUGCAGUGUACCCGCGGCAAGACGGAAAGACCCCGUGAACCUUUACUAUAGCUUGACACUGAACAUUGAGCCUUGAUGUGUAGGAUAGGUGGGAGGCUUUGAAGCGUGGACGCCAGUCUGCGUGGAGCCAACCUUGAAAUACCACCCUUUAAUGUUUGAUGUUCUAACGUUGGCCCCUUACCGGGGUUGCGGACAGUGUCUGGUGGGUAGUUUGACUGGGGCGGUCUCCUCCCAAAGCGUAACGGAGGAGCACGAAGGUUAGCUAAUCCUGGUCGGACAUCAGGAGGUUAGUGCAAUGGCAUAAGCUAGCUUGACUGCGAGCGUGACGGCGCGAGCAGGUGCGAAAGCAGGUCAUAGUGAUCCGGUGGUUCUGAAUGGAAGGGCCAUCGCUCAACGGAUAAAAGGUACUCCGGGGAUAACAGGCUGAUACCGCCCAAGAGUUCAUAUCGACGGCGGUGUUUGGCACCUCGAUGUCGGCUCAUCACAUCCUGGGGCUGAAGUAGGUCCCAAGGGUAUGGCUGUUCGCCAUUUAAAGUGGUACGCGAGCUGGGUUUAGAACGUCGUGAGACAGUUCGGUCCCUAUCUGCCGUGGGCGCUGGAGAAUUGAGGGGGGCUGCUCCUAGUACGAGAGGACCGGAGUGGACGCAUCACUGGUGUUCGGGUUGUCAUGCCAAUGGCACUGCCCGGUAGCUAAAUGCGGAAGAGAUAAGUGCUGAAAGCAUCUAAGCACGAAACUUGCCCCGAGAUGAGUUCUCCCUGAGACUUUAAGUCUCCUGAAGGAACGUUGAAGACGACGACGUUGAUAGGCCGGGUGUGUAAGCGCAGCGAUGCGUUGAGCUAACCGGUACUAAUGAACCGUGAGGCUUAACCUU
rnacentral:rRNA from 1 species